rnacentral:rRNA from 1 species
AGCGUACACGGUGGAUGCCCUGGCAGUCAGAGGCGAUGAAGGACGUGCUAAUCUGCGAAAAGCGCCGGCGAGGUGAUAUGAACCUUUGACCCGGCGAUGUCCGAAUGGGGAAACCCAGUGCAAUUCGUUGCACUAUCGUUAACUGAAUACAUAGGUUAACGAGGCGAACCGGGGGAACUGAAACAUCUAAGUACCCCGAGGAAAAGAAAUCAACCGAGAUUCCCCCAGUAGCGGCGAGCGAACGGGGAGCAGCCCAGAGUCUGAAUCAGCUUGUGUGUUAGUGGAAGCGUCUGGAAAGUCGCACGGUACAGGGUGACAGUCCCGUACACGAAAGCACACAGGUUGUGAACUCGAAGAGUAGGGCGGGACACGUGGUAUCCUGUCUGAAUAUGGGGGGACCAUCCUCCAAGGCUAAAUACUCCUGACUGACCGAUAGUGAACCAGUACCGUGAGGGAAAGGCGAAAAGAACCCCGGCGAGGGGAGUGAAAAAGAACCUGAAACCGUGUACGUACAAGCAGUGGGAGCCUACUUGUUAGGUGACUGCGUACCUUUUGUAUAAUGGGUCAGCGACUUAUAUUCUGUAGCAAGGUUAACCGUAUAGGGGAGCCGAAGGGAAACCGAGUCUUAACUGGGCGUUAAGUUGCAGGGUAUAGACCCGAAACCCGGUGAUCUAGCCAUGGGCAGGUUGAAGGUUGGGUAACACUAACUGGAGGACCGAACCGACUAAUGUUGAAAAAUUAGCGGAUGACCUGUGGCUGGGGGUGAAAGGCCAAUCAAACCGGGAGAUAGCUGGUUCUCCCCGAAAGCUAUUUAGGUAGCGCCUCGUGAAUUCAUCUUCGGGGGUAGAGCACUGUUUCGGCUAGGGGGCCAUCCCGGCUUACCAACCCGAUGCAAACUACGAAUACCGAAGAAUGUUAUCACGGGAGACACACGGCGGGUGCUAACGUCCGUCGUGAAGAGGGAAACAACCCAGACCGCCAGCUAAGGUCCCAAAGUCAUGGUUAAGUGGGAAACGAUGUGGGAAGGCACAGACAGCCAGGAUGUUGGCUUAGAAGCAGCCAUCAUUUAAAGAAAGCGUAAUAGCUCACUAGUCGAGUCGGCCUGCGCGGAAGAUGUAACGGGGCUAAACCAUGCACCGAAGCUGCGGCAGCGACGCUUAUGCGUUGUUGGGUAGGGGAGCGUUCUGUAAGCCGUUGAAGGUGGCCUGUGAGGGUUGCUGGAGGUAUCAGAAGUGCGAAUGCUGACAUAAGUAACGAUAAAGCGGGUGAAAAGCCCGCUCGCCGGAAGACCAAGGGUUCCUGUCCAACGUUAAUCGGGGCAGGGUGAGUCGACCCCUAAGGCGAGGCCGAAAGGCGUAGUCGAUGGGAAACAGGUUAAUAUUCCUGUACUUGGUGUUACUGCGAAGGGGGGACGGAGAAGGCUAUGUUAGCCGGGCGACGGUUGUCCCGGUUUAAGCAUGUAGGCGGAGGUUCCAGGUAAAUCCGGUACCUUUUAACGCUGAGGUGUGAUGACGAGGCACUACGGUGCUGAAGUAACAAAUGCCCUGCUUCCAGGAAAAGCCUCUAAGCAUCAGGUAACACGAAAUCGUACCCCAAACCGACACAGGUGGUCAGGUAGAGAAUACCAAGGCGCUUGAGAGAACUCGGGUGAAGGAACUAGGCAAAAUGGUGCCGUAACUUCGGGAGAAGGCACGCUGAUAUGUAGGUGAAGCCCCUGCGGGUGGAGCUGAAAUCAGUCGAAGAUACCAGCUGGCUGCAACUGUUUAUUAAAAACACAGCACUGUGCAAACACGAAAGUGGACGUAUACGGUGUGACGCCUGCCCGGUGCCGGAAGGUUAAUUGAUGGGGUUAGCGGCAACGCGAAGCUCUUGAUCGAAGCCCCGGUAAACGGCGGCCGUAACUAUAACGGUCCUAAGGUAGCGAAAUUCCUUGUCGGGUAAGUUCCGACCUGCACGAAUGGCGUAAUGAUGGCCAGGCUGUCUCCACCCGAGACUCAGUGAAAUUGAACUCGCUGUGAAGAUGCAGUGUACCCGCGGCAAGACGGAAAGACCCCGUGAACCUUUACUAUAGCUUGACACUGAACACUGGUCCUUGAUGUGUAGGAUAGGUGGGAGGCUUUGAAGCGUGGACGCCAGUCUGCGUGGAGCCAACCUUGAAAUACCACCCUUUAAUGUUUGAUGUUCUAACGUGGACCCGUGAUCCGGGUUGCGGACAGUGUCUGGUGGGUAGUUUGACUGGGGCGGUCUCCUCCCAAAGAGUAACGGAGGAGCACGAAGGUUAGCUAAUCCUGGUCGGACAUCAGGAGGUUAGUGCAAUGGCAUAAGCUAGCUUGACUGCGAGAGUGACGGCUCGAGCAGGUGCGAAAGCAGGUCAUAGUGAUCCGGUGGUUCUGAAUGGAAGGGCCAUCGCUCAACGGAUAAAAGGUACUCCGGGGAUAACAGGCUGAUACCGCCCAAGAGUUCAUAUCGACGGCGGUGUUUGGCACCUCGAUGUCGGCUCAUCACAUCCUGGGGCUGAAGUAGGUCCCAAGGGUAUGGCUGUUCGCCAUUUAAAGUGGUACGCGAGCUGGGUUUAGAACGUCGUGAGACAGUUCGGUCCCUAUCUGCCGUGGGCGCUGGAGAAUUGAGGGGGGCUGCUCCUAGUACGAGAGGACCGGAGUGGACGCAUCACUGGUGUUCGGGUUGUCAUGCCAAUGGCACUGCCCGGUAGCUAAAUGCGGAAGAGAUAAGUGCUGAAAGCAUCUAAGCACGAAACUUGCCCCGAGAUGAGUUCU